CCUCCGUGCAGCGCACGGCGAAUUGUAAUCUAGAGAUGCUAUUCUCAACGGGUGGUGGCGCAGAAGUGCCCUGGAACGGGCCGCCAAAGAGGGUGACAGCCCCGUACGUGGCGCCGCCGCUCAACGAGAAGGUAUUCGAAGAGUCGGGUUGUUUUGUAUUGCAGCCCUAAGCGGGAGAUAAACUUCUUCUAAGGCUAAAUAUAUGUGGGAAACCGAUAGCGAACAAGUACUGUGAAGGAAAGAUGAAAAGCACUUUGAAAAGAGAGUCAAAAGACCUGAAACCGUUGAGGAGGAAGCGGUAGAGAUGAAUUCUACAACGAGGCACUGGAAAAAUGGCCAAACUUUAACAAAUAAAUAGUACGUCAAAGGCUAUCGUUUGUUCAAAGGGAAGCCAUUGACUUGUGCGGCGUUGUGAGACCGGAUGGGGUCACGAAAUCACAGAGGCCUGCUUUGCCUCAUUCAACUUGUUGAAUAGCCUAGAAGUGCCGGUGAUUUCAUGGCCUGAGAGUGCUUUGUGCGAUCCGGUCAAAAUGGUCUUUACCGACUCGUCUUGAAACACGAACCAAGGAGUCUA
rnacentral:rRNA from 1 species